CCAGGCCUGGGCUGCAGAGACCCAGAGGACGUCGGUGGCUCGGGACCCUCCUUGAGCGGGCAGCCUGGGGACGCUCGGCCCUCCCCGCGUCAGCGGCCCUGGUCGGAGACCGAGACCGUGCUUUCUGGUCUCACGAACCGUGUGCUUCGCUGAAUUGGUUGAGCCAUUUCUCACUAGAACAGAAGCUCACUGAGGACACGCAUCUGUUCCCUGCUGCGUCCCGGCACCUAGGUCACGGCCACAGAAACACCCAGGAACGCGCCAGCAACCUCCGAGCACCGGAGUGAGAAGUUCUCAGUGAGCGAAGGCCAGAAACAGGUCCACCGCUGAUUUGCUGAAAAGCCCUAACAGCCACAGACACCGAGCAUCUGGGCCCGGCAAGCUGGUGAGCACCCUGAGGCCUAACGAAGGGCACAGACCCCCAGGACGGCCCUCGUCCAGGGGAGCAGCAAGCUCUGCCCAGCCUCCCGGAAUGGAGUCACUCAGCGGACAACUGCAGGCUGCGGAUGAGGGGGUGGGGACACAGCGGCCCCGAGCACUGGCUGCACCCUAGAAACGAGCAAGCAGAGGACCCUGUGGGCUACACGGCAGUCAUCUGAGACAGCGUCUGGGGGACCAUAUACAAAAAGCUCCAAGGAGACCCUGGAAGACCCCUGUCCACUGGAAUUCACACCCUUGGGCCAUCCCAGGGUCCACACGGUGAAGAGCUGAACUCUCUUGCCAACAGCCAGACAAGGACAGAUGGGGAGCAGCUUGCCUGAAGCAGGAACUUGAGAGCCUAGGACCCCCAGCACCCGAGGAACAGGGAGUAGCUGCAUGCGUGUCCUCUCGUCCUCUCUGCUCCCUCCUUCCACCAAAGGACCGCCUGGCUCACCAGCACGGCAAAGCAGAAGCCUAGGACCGGAGCCUCCAGCCCCGAGUUCACCUUGAGGUUGCCCCAGAGGGUUAAAAGGAACAGCCUUCACGUACACAUACACUGAGUAGAGCCGAGGAAGAACAAAAUCAUGGUUUGUGGGUUUGAGCCCCACAAGCCUGCCUGGGAUUCUGUCUUCUCUUUCUCUCUGCCCCUCCCCUCCUUGCUCUCUCUCUCUUUCUCAAAAAUAAAUGAAUAAACAUUUUUAAUAAAUGUAUCGAUAAUCUGUUCUUCCAGAAUCACAUUUGCUAGGACACCCAACUCCUGGGUACGAAUGAC